rnacentral:lncRNA from 1 species
CUGAGAAGAAUCUUCAGGCACCUGCUCUACCUCUUCAACAGGAAGCUCAUCGUUCACAGUAUGGUCACCAUGCUGUACUUCAUCCACAUUUUUGUCAUGGCCUUCUACCUCAUCCUGAUAUAAAUAAAUAACAUAAGUACUAGAUCAAGCAACAAAUGUCAAAAAAAAAAGAGCAUAAAGGAGACUUUUUUUACCAAAAAGCAGAUACAAGUUUCACAGCAAUCAUUUGGAGAUAACAGAUAAUGUUGCAAUACGAGCAUCUAGAAUCAGUUUUACAUUUAUUAAUUGACCAGAUUUUCUAUUAUGCUCAAUGGCGUUAUUAUCUCCAGAGUGUACACAGUUGUAAAUCUCUUGGAAAGUGAACUUUUAAUUCUAAACA